UGAGGAGCUUGCUUCUCUGAUCAGUGGCGAACGGGUGAGUAACACGUGAGCAAUCUGCCCUUGACUCUGGGAUAAGCGUUGGAAACGACGUCUAAUACCGGAUACGACCUUUGGAGGCAUCUCUGGGGGUGGAAAGAAUUUUGGUCAAGGAUGAGCUCGCGGCCUAUCAGCUAGUUGGUGAGGUAAUGGCUCACCAAGGCGACGACGGGUAGCCGGCCUGAGAGGGUGACCGGCCACACUGGGACUGAGACACGGCCCAGACUCCUACGGGAGGCAGCAGUGGGGAAUAUUGCACAAUGGGCGAAAGCCUGAUGCAGCAACGCCGCGUGAGGGACGACGGCCUUCGGGUUGUAAACCUCUUUUAGUAGGGAAGAAGCGAAAGUGACGGUACCUGCAGAAAAAGCACCGGCUAACUACGUGCCAGCAGCCGCGGUAAUACGUAGGGUGCAAGCGUUGUCCGGAAUUAUUGGGCGUAAAGAGCUCGUAGGCGGUUUGUCGCGUCUGCUGUGAAAACCCGAGGCUCAACCUCGGGCCUGCAGUGGGUACGGGCAGACUAGAGUGCGGUAGGGGAGAUUGGAAUUCCUGGUGUAGCGGUGGAAUGCGCAGAUAUCAGGAGGAACACCAAUGGCGAAGGCAGAUCUCUGGGCCGUAACUGACGCUGAGGAGCGAAAGCAUGGGGAGCGAACAGGAUUAGAUACCCUGGUAGUCCAUGCCGUAAACGUUGGGAACUAGAUGUGGG
rnacentral:rRNA from 1 species